UAUCCACUUCAAACCUGUCCUCUUCCCACCAGUCUCCAUGGUCUCUCCAAAGGCAGGACAGAAGAAUUCAUGAGUCAUGGAAACAGAAAACAGGAACACUGGUCCAACGUGGUACAGAAAAGAUUGAGCUAUUUCUGAAGGAAUCUGCUGUCACUGGGUGUGGUGGUGCAUGCCAGUAAUCCCAAGGAGUUGAGAGGCCGAGGCAAGAGGAUCACAAACUCAAGGUGACCAUGAACCUGUAUCCUGUGAAACCUCCACCUUAUCAGACAAAUGGAAGACUGUCGCACCCCCACCCCAACCUUGGAAUUCUGCAUCGGUGGCACAAUUCAGUAGGAACUGGUGAAGCAGCGAUUUCCAAGUAAAAAGUCUGUAUUAAUUACAAUUACGUAGAACUGCCCUUAUGGUAAACUUUUUACCAACAAAAUAUUCUUAUACUAACAGCAUUACCUGCCCCCCACACACACACAAAAAAAAUAACAUUAUCACAACAAGAAGUAAAUAACUGGCCAUUGUAUCUGCUUUUAUAAACAGAUAUUUCAUGGGAUUUGCCCAUCAAACAUAAAGGCACAUUUGUGAUUCUGAUAACCUAAGACUUUAAACUGUAUUACAAAAUUAUUGCUGUCCAGAGACUAAAGCUGAGGUUUACAAGCCUGUUCUGCCUUCCUGCGGGCCCACUAUGCUUAUAAAUGACACCUUCUAGUGUCUUAAAGUAUGAGAGGCAGCUAGUCCUGAAUUCUCAGGCUGCUAAUGGUUUCACAUAAAAUGAGCUCCUACAAUUUUAUUAGCACCAUGGUGGAACUUCACAGGUGAGGAGCCACCAGGGAAAGGACAAGGACACGGCUCUCAUUUCUGGCCUCUGACUGCUCCAAGAGCAAGGAAGUUUUCCACUCCAUAUUUCAAAUGAUUGCUCCAACUCCCCAGGCUGCUGAUUAAUCCAAAUAGGCUCUACUAUGUUGUUUAGGGAAACCAGGAAUAAGUCACCAAGUCAUCCCUCUGGAGAGAGGGUGAAGUGAAUUCACUUCCUAAACUCACAGCUGUGAAGCUGAUUAAGCAACUUCACUUUAUGAACCCUCAUAUUGUAUUGAGGCCUAUCAGCUGAUUGUGCACAUUGAGAAAUAACCCCUGGAAAAAAAUUAAAUUUCACCUCCCAAUCAGAUAAACCAGACAUGAGUUUCGUAAACAUGCCCACAACACAAAGAUUAUUGUAACCUGGAGAAGUGAUCAUGCUAGACACACAAGAAAAAGGUCCCAAUGGUUCUGUAAACUUCACGUUUUAGUGCCUCACAUUUAUAUGAAGUCUUAACAAUACACAACAUGCCAAACAGAGAACCGAUGGGCUGCUUUUGAAAGAAAACAACUCCUAGAAGCCUUUAAACAGGGCUGAUUACCCAAAAUUACAUGAAAUUACAUGUUCAGAUAUACAUAAUUUUGUGUAUUUCCUUCACUUUGAAAGUGACUUUAUAGUAGUCUAAGACUUCAUUAGAAACAUUAUUUUAUCUGGAAAAAACAAAACACCCUAAAACCAUACAAACUAAAAAUAUUUUUUCAAUUUUCAAAAGGAAUCAACUAAUAGUAUUUAUUUUUUACUAUCUAUUAACAAUAAAAUCAGUAAAUUAACUUUGAAGAGCCAAACAUGAAAAACAGUUCAAUAUGGCAGGCUCUUGGUUUAGAACUUUUUAAAAAUUUCAAAUUCAAACAAAACAAAAUUCCACAUAAAUGACUUACAUUAAAAAGCUUUCAAAACAUAACAAAACUCAACUUAAAACUUGCACACAAAAGUUUUCCUUUUUAAGGCCAACAAUCUGCCAGGAUCAUUCAUCAUAGGCUCAAAAGUGAUGAAAACUAAACCAGCUGCCAAAACGCAUGUACUUUGUAGCACAAAUGACUAAGGAUGUAACACCCACUAACUGACCUGCAGAGAAAAGGCAGCCUUAAUUUAUUCUGCCUGCUCUGGCUUUACUUUCUGUUAAAACAUAGACCCAUCACCAUGUUCAACCCUUUCUUCAUGCAUCUUAUCUUAAAGAAACAGGGACAAAGGAAAGAACCCAGAAAAGGAGUGGCAAGAAACAAACUGGGAUUUGUGAGUCAGAAAUUUAAGAUUAUCCCAUUUGCUAAAUCUAUAAUAACAUCACAAAUACUUCUUUCUUCUCUAAGGUGUAGAGUUGAAGCUGGAAUUAUUACCUUUGUUAUAUACUGGAUAUACUCCUCUGCACACAGUAGCUUUUGGGUCUUUUCCAAUUCAAAAGCACCAGUGCAGACACAGCGCCAAAGUGAGCAACAGUGAAGAGAAGUCCCGGACUAGAUGUCAUAACUGGGCAAUCCUGCCAGGGGAGCAGCAACAGAAGCCAGCUUAUUAUUAGUCUCCAAAUAUAGAAGUCUUUGUAACGGAAGCUCUGGAAUGUCAUCUGUCUUAAAUUACAUCCACCUGGGAUUACAUUCUCUUGACCAAUACAGCCAGAAUACUGGAACUUGAAAACCUCACUUUCUGGUUCUAGUUCCCAGUGCAUCUACAUUAUUUCAAAAUCCUAGCCUCUCCACAGUGUCAGUCAUUAGCCUCUGCAAUUGCAAGCUCAAUCUGAGCACCUAGCAGCAGUCACUGCUACAAGAAAGAUAUAAGAGAAACACACCACCUUCCUGAGGAUGUCCAGGGAGAGGGGCAACGGCACAGACAAACACAUCUCCCACAGUGGCACGAGGACUGGAUAAACCAAUGGAGUAAGGGAGGGCAUGGGGGUGUAGCUCAGUGGGAGACCCCAAGCUUUACGUGCCUGAGGCCCUGGGUUCAAUCCCCAGCACCUGGGGUUGGGGGGACCAGCUCAAUGCAGACUGUCAUCAUAAGUUCGGGGAAGAUGAAGCUUUUAUUAUCUUCACUCUCUGGUCAAAUUGAGCUCAAAUGGACCAAAAUAACUCAAAGCUCAAAAGAAAUCUACUCCGUAUUUCUGAAUUCUCCAAGGUCCUCUUAUUUGAGGGCCAUAGUUCCUUUCUAGACAAUGGAAUGUUGACUGUUGUGGGCUUGGGGUAUACAACAGGCACAGAAUAAACUGACAGAGAGGACACACAGACAACAAGCAAA